CUUGGUCAUUUAGAGGAAGUAAAAGUCGUAACAAGGUUUCCGUAGGUGAACCUGCGGAAGGAUCAUUCACAAACGAGUGUUUUAUGGCACUCUUUAAAAAUCCAUAUCCACCUUGUGUGCAAUGUUUGUUGGGAAAGUCUUUUCUUUCCCUUCAUAAAUAUCAACCUAUAUCUUUAACAACAUUCGUCUGAUAACAUAUUAUGAAUAUACUUAAUUCAAAAUAUAACUUUCAACAACGGAUCUCCUGGCUCUCGCAUCGAUGAAGAACGCAGCGAAAUGCGAUACGUAAUGUGAAUUGCAGAAUUCAGUGAAUCAUCGAAUCUUUGAACGCAUAUUGCGCUCUUUGGUAUUCCGAAGAGCAUGCUUGUUUGAGUAUCAGUAAACACCUCAACCUCUCUUUUCUGAUAAAAAAAAGGGAGGGUGGACUUGAGCUAUCCCAACGACCUUCACCGGUAGGCGGGCGGCUUGAAAUGCAGGUGCAGCUGGACUUUUAUCUGAGCUAAAAGCAUAUCUAUUUAGUCCUCGUCAAACAGGAUUAUUACUUUUGCUGCAGCUAACAUAAAGGAUAAUUGUCCUCUUUGCUGACUGAUGCAGGAUUUUACGACACUUUAUGUGUUGUUCAACUCGAUCUCAAAUCAAGUAAGACUACCCGCUGAACUUAAGCAUAUCAAUAAGCGGAGGA
rnacentral:rRNA from 1 species